rnacentral:rRNA from 1 species
GACGAACGCUGGCGGCGUGCCUAAUACAUGCAAGUCGAACGCAGUGGGGACGGGUGAGUAACACGUGGGUAACCUCCCAUCCGAGGGGAUAAAACUUGGAAACAGGUGCUAAACCGAUAUUGAUGGAUGGACCCGCGGUGCAUUAGCUAGUUGGUGAGGUAACGGCUCACAAAGGCCACGAUGAAUAGCGGACCGAGUGGGUUGACCGGCAACACGGGGACUGGGAAACGGCCCGGACUCCUACGGGAGGCAGCGUUGGGGAAUCUUGGGCAAGGGACGAAGUUCUGACCGAGCAAGGCGGCGUGGGGGAAGAGGGUUUUCGGUUCGUAAAACUCUGUUGUUAGGGAAGCGGUAUCUAACCAGAAAGCCACGGCUAACUACGUGCCAGCAGCCGCGGUAAUAC